GGGUGUAUAGCUCAGUAGUAGAGCAUUCUACUGCGGGUCGGGAGGCCCCUGGUUCAAAUCCGGGUGCCCU